GGAACUGUAUAAAGAACAAAGGGCACUUGACCAGGAAAAUGACCCCCUAAUCCAGGAUGUUUCCACAAGGUGGAACUCCACACUGUUUAUGAUCCGUCGUCUUCUCAAAAACAAAGAGGCAGUAAAGGCUACUCUGGACAAACAGGCACAAACUGGUCUUAUUAUCAGCAGCAGAGUGGACAAAACUAGAGAAGUUGGCAGCCAUCCUUGAACCAUGCAGACAUGUGACUGAUCUUCUUGGUGGAGAGACUUACGUCUCAUGUUCUGCGGUCUUGCCUGUCCUAUGAUUCCUGGACCACACUAUGAAGGUCUCUGAUGAGGAUUCUACCUACAUUGUGAAAUUCAAGACAGCCUUCAUGAAGGACUUCAUGAAGUCAGAGCAGAAAGCUGCACUUAAUUAUGAUUGGCUCAAAAUGGCUACAAUGCUUGACCCUCGCUUUAAGGACUUAAAGUGUCUUCCAAGAGAAGAGCGAGAAGCCGUGUGGAAAAAGCUUGAAGAACUCCUUCAAGAUGGAUCUAUAAAAGCUACCUCACAGAUGAGCCACCAAAAAAGAAAGGCCCCUUGUGCUUUUCUUCUGACUCUAAUUCUGAUGUAGGGUCUAAUGCCUUUAGCCUCUGUAAAGCAGAACAGACAAUCAGUGAGACAGACUGCCCACUACAAUGGUGGUCAGCACAUGCAGGGGCACAUCCACAGCUCUCCACUCUGGCUAGAAAGUACCUAGCAAGUCCUGCCACUUCUAUCCCAUGUGAGAGUUGGUUCUCACUUGCUGGGAACAUCAUCCAGAAGAAAAGAGCAGCCUUUAGCUCUGAAAAUGUGAACAGGCUCGUUUGUCUCAGUAACUGGCUCAAGGAGAAAAAGUAGCCUCAGUGUUGUAUGUUUUGGUUGUACAAAAAUAUUGCAGGUUGAAUGUUGUGCUAAAUUCUAUGCUCUUAAAUGCAAUAUGUAGUUUUGCCAUAAUUCUGUUGUUACUUUAGAAAUGGCACUUUAAUUUUUGUUUACACCAGAUGUUAAACUCUCAGGAGUUGCAAUAUUGUAUAGUUGUUUUAUUUAUUUUUAAUUUUUACAGUUCUGUACAAGAAAUGGUGCUAUGAUUGUCUAAUGUGCUGUUUACAUUUAUUUAUUUAUUUUUCAAAUAAGUUAAACAAUCAGGGGUUCCUGAAAUACUUGAAAUCUGAAUAACUAUAAUAGCACCAACACAUCUGUUGGUUUAAUAACAAUAAAAAAGAAACAUUUCAAAAAGCAAUAAA